rnacentral:RNase_P_RNA from 1 species
GCAGUGCUCCGGUCUGUCGCUGGCAUCUUUCAGGUGCGAGAGGAAAGUCCGGGCAGCAUAGAGCAUCCCACUUCCGAAACUAGAAGCUAUUGGUGACAGUAGGUGUCGGUAGAAGAAAAUAACCGCUUUCACUUAUCCCGUUUGUCCAGUCUGGGGUGGUGAGAGUAAGGGUGAGAAGGUGGUGUAAGAGACCACCAGCUGGCGGGUGAUCGCCAGGCUGUGCCAUCUGGGAGCUGUAAGCUCAUGUAUACCGCAGAUUGAGGGCGGCUCGUCCGAUUGCCCUUUAGGGCUGCUGUGGAGGGUAGAGUGCUUGAGCCCAAGGGUGACUUUGGGACUAGAUAAAUGACAGACAUUCUUAUGUCUGGUAUGAACACAGCAUAACAGCAUAUCUGAUAUAGGAACACAGAACUCGGCUUACAGGGGCACUGCUUUC